rnacentral:rRNA from 1 species
UACGUAGGGUGCAAGCGUUGUCCGGAAUUAUUGGGCGUAAAGAGCUCGUAGGCGGUCUGUCGCGUCGGCUGUGAAAACUCAGGGCUCAACCCGGAGACGCCAUCUGAUACUGCUGUGGCUUGAGUCUGGUAGGGGAUCACGGAAUUCCUGGUGUAGCGGUGAAAUGCGCAGAUAUCAGGAGGAACACCGAUGGCGAAGGCAGUGAUCUGGGCCAGUACUGACGCUGAGGAGCGAAAGCGUGGGUAGCAAACAGG